CACGUAGGGUGCAAGCGUUGUCCGGAAUUAUUGGGCGUAAAGAGCUCGUAGGCGGUCUGUCGCGUCGGAUGUGAAAACCCAGGGCUCAACCCUGGGCCUGCAUUCGAUACGGGCAGACUAGAGUUCGGUAGGGGAGACUGGAAUUCCUGGUGUAGCGGUGAAAUGCGCAGAUAUCAGGAGGAACACCGGUGGCGAAGGCGGGUCUCUGGGCCGAAACUGACGCUGAGGAGCGAAAGCGUGGGAGCAAACAGG
rnacentral:rRNA from 1 species